rnacentral:rRNA from 1 species
UAGAGUUUGAUCCUGGCUCAGAAUCAACGCUGGCGGCGCGCCUAACACAUGCAAGUCGCACGAGAAAGCGGGAGCAAUCUCGCAAGUAAAGUGGCGUACGGGUGAGUAACACGUGGAUCAUCUGCCCUGGAGUGGGGAAUAACGCUGGGAAACCGGCGCUAAUACCGCAUAUACCCGAGAGGGGAAAGCAGCAAUGCGCUCG